UACGGGGGGGGCAAGCGUUGUUCGGAAUUACUGGGCGUAAAGGGCUCGUAGGUGGCCAACUAAGUCAGACGUGAAAUCCCCAGGCUCAACCUGGGAACUGCGUCUGAUACUGGAUGGCUUGAAUUCGGGAGAGGGAUGCAGAGUUCCAGGUGUAGCUGUGAAAUGCGUAGAUAUCUGGAGGAAUACCGGUGGCGAAGGCGGCAUCCUGGACCGAUAUUGACGCUGAUGAGCGAAAGCUAGGGGAGCAAACGGG
rnacentral:rRNA from 1 species